GCUUCUCGUGCUUGCGCUUGUGCGAGUCCAUCUGCGACAUGCCCACCACUGUGUGGCGGCAGCCCGGGGGUGCUGGAACAGCUGCGGUCCAUGGUGGACGACUCCGAGGACGCCGCGCCGGGGCUACAGCCUGUGUAGUCCAAGCCCUCGUCGGUCUCCACAUCCAUUAGGCUCGGGGGACCCUGGAAGAAAGGAGAGGGGUCCUAAGCUAACUUGGAGUGUCUCGCCCCGAGCCUUCGGAGGGCCGGGAAUGCAGCUGGCUCUAGCCUCCAUGAACUCGCCAAACCCCUGCCACCACGACCACAGGACCAGGAGAAGCCUGGCCUGGAGACACCACAUCUACCAACCCACCACUCUCCAUUUUCCAGCUUCUGGUCCAUUCCUAGGAAAGUCCUGCCCCACACCUGCAGGUCUAUAGACAUUCGCCCCAUCCCGAGGGUAGAGGGUGAGGCUCUCUUCCCUACAGGAUCAAAGAAGGAAGGCAUCAGAGAGGCAUCGGAAGACGCCCGCUGCGCGGCUCAGAAGCACCCAUAACCUCUGUAUCUCCUGUGCAUCACGGACUUCAGCAGAGCCCAUAAGUACUUGACCACGGGUUCCCGGCAGUAAGCUUAAUUGUAAGCUAAAGGCUUUAAAAUGUAAAUAAAUAACUGAA